rnacentral:tRNA from 1 species
GAGGGUAUAGCUCAGGGGUAGAGUGUGUGCUUAGCAUGUAUGAGGUCCUGGGUUUAAUCCCCAGUACCUCCA